AAGUCCCAACCCUUUCCCCGGCGAGUGCGCAGCCUUCUCCCUCUCCGACUCCGACGCAACCACGCCGCCGAUCCCCAAAUCCCCGCCGCACGCCGGCCUUCCCAGCCCCGCCGCUCGGCGACGCGCUCUCCCCGGCCAAUUCCCCACUUACACAUCCAUAUCACGCCCCCAAUCGCGCCACCACCCCCAAACCCUAGCCGCUCCCGACCGGCCGUCGUCGUUGCCCUCCACAACCCCGUCCUCCCGCGCCAUCUCCCGUCCACCGCCGUACGCGCUCGCCGGCCAUGGAGGCCCCCUGCCCUCGUCCAGAGAGAGAGAGGCAGUGGCGGUAGAAGCCCUCACCUCUCUCUUUCUCCUCAUCUCUCUCCCGGUGCGGCUCUCGCGUUCCUCCUCAAACCCUAGCCGCUGCCCGCUCGUCCUUCGCAGCCGCCGCCUCCUCUACCCCGAUUUAGAUCCCGACCUCCUGUGGCCGACGGCGACGAAGCAGAGGCGGGGGUUCGAACUGCGCAGGCGGCCGCAACAUCCGGCCGCCAGCACGUCCCCGACUGCGACGACGCAGAUGUGGUAAUACACGAGCGCCUCGUCGGCCCAUGGUAGGAGCAAGGGAUGGUCGCCGCAUUCCCUAGGGGAGGGAAUCUUCUCGUCUCCCCUUUGUGGCUUCCUCUCCCCGUCUACGUUCCCUACGCUCAGCUACCUGAUCUCCAGCGACGAAAACGAGCGCAGAUAGCGUCGCCUCUGCUCGGCUUGGUGCAGGUGGCCCGUGGCGCUCGCCGGAAGUCAGCAGAGGCAGCGCACACGAGCAUCUCAACCUCCGCUGGCGUGCCCCUGGCUGCUUGUUGAAGCUCCUAUGGACUGCAGGAAACCUCCAAGCGCCUUCUCUUCCUCCUAAUCUCAAUCAAGAUGGAAGAACAAAUGACACUAUUGCAAGAUGGUUACUCAAGCUGGUGGAGAGAAUGGGACCAUGCCUGCUGAUGCAAGUACAUAUAAGUACCUUGAGGAGAGUUCAUUUCCUGCAACAUGCAUAGAUGGGGGUGUACAGUCAGAUACCAGAAGAAGGAAGAACUGCAUCACAGUGGCAUGUCAUACCACUAGAGGUAGCUGGCCUGGAUGUAUCAUGCUUGAAGAAAGAAACAUAUAUUGCUAGCAGCCAGUCCACUUUUGAUAUUAUCUAUCCAGGGCCAGUGCGUGGUUCUUCAAAUCAAACAUGGCAAGUAUUACAAUCCUCCUAUGGUAUUCUCUAUACACCCACAUAAGAACAAUACAAGACGAAAUCCCACAGAUAAACAUGUUUGUAACUUAAUACUUCCUCCAAUCUAAUCUUUUCAGUGUGGUCCAAAAUGCAGGUCCUUCUAUACUCUAAAUGUGAAUUUGUCGUGUUAUUCCAGUUUAGCCCCUAAUUAGUUCCAUCGACAUUUAGACUUCUAACUCUAGCAUUUAUUGAGUUACUGUAGUACAGAGGUAAUAGAAAAAGUGUUUGAAAUACUAGGUGAAUGGUGAUAAUUGGAAUUUUACCAACAACCUUAAAAUCUUGCGGCUAACUCUAGAAGUUGUUGCAUUUUGGAAGGGAGGAAGUACGUUUUGUUCAUUUUUGCAAGUUAAAAUCCUGAAAUCCCAAUAAGGCUAACACUCAGUACAACCCCUGGUCAUGUUUUUAGAAAUUGCCUACCUCGUUUGGCUCCAUAGAAUUGAACUACUAGUAUUGUAGUAGUAUUGAUUUAUUUAGUCUCAGUAAUUGAUGUUUUUGUGCUAUAGGCCUAAACUUGCUGUCAUGUGGCUAUGAAUAUCCCUGGUUGGUAUUGUGUGGUCUUCAUCUUUGAUCGAUUUUAUAUGAGUGGCUGGGUGGGAAGCGUCCAUAUCCUGCAGGAGCUCUUCGGCAUCAGCACCAAAAGAUACCUUUGGUUUACACUGGAUGCUUGUAUGAUGAGAGUUUAAAACAUGAUGGCAUGAUUAUAUUUUGCAUGGAAGAUGGGAGAUCCUAGUGUCGAGGAGGAGGAGGUGACGGAAGAAACCCACGAUGUGUCCCAGGAGGCAAAAGGGUGUGGCCAUGGAAGCUUCUCCCUUUCAAGGUAAGUUAAACUCCAUUGCAGCAAGUAAGAAGAGAAACAGCGGAAGCCAAAAAGUUACUGCAUAGAGAAAGAGGAAGUUAAGCUCGUUGCUUUUUAUUUUACCAGAAUUGGAGCCUAUUCUGUAUUUGCAUUUCAUCUACACACUUACUGCAUAGAUACUGCACUUGGUACUGUCACAUGUGCAUCAUUUCAUCUGGAUACUGUCAUAUGUUACUCCAUUUGAUGCAAAUUGGAUACCGUCAUAUGUUACUCCAUUUGAACUGUAAUGAUGUAUACAGUACUCUGCUAUGAUGUGAUGCAUACAAAAAUGUUGGAGUGUAAUUGUA